rnacentral:misc_RNA from 1 species
AAAUGCGAUAAGUAAUGUGAAUUGCAGAAUUCGGUGAAUCAUCGAAUCUUUGAACGCACAUUGCGCCCGCCAGUAUUCUGGCGGGCAUGCCUGUUCGAGCGUCAUUUCAACCAUCAAGCCCCGGGCUUGUGUUGGGGACCUGCGGCUGCCGCAGGCCCUGAAAACCAGUGGCGGGCUCGCUGUCACACCGAGCGUAGUAGAUUCUCAUCUCGCUCAGGGCGUGCUGCGGGUUCCGGCCGUAAAACAGCCUUAUUUUACCCAAGGUUGACCUCGGAUCAGGUAGGAAGACCCGCUGAACUUAAGC